GCCCAUAUAGCUCAGUAGGUAGAGCACUUCCAUGGUAAGGAAGGGGUCGGCGGUUCAAUCCCGCCUGUGGGCU
rnacentral:tRNA from 3 species